CGGUGAAAUGCGUAGAUAUUAGGAGGAACACCAGUGGCGAAGGCGACUUACUGGACAGUUACUGACGCUGAGGCGCGAAAGCGUGGGGAGCAAACAGGAUUAGAUACCCUGGUAGUCCACGCCGCAAACGAUGAAUGCUGGGUGUUGGGGAGACUCAGUGCCGCAGUUAACACAAUAAGCAUUCCGCCUGGGGAGUACGGUCGCAAGACUGAAACUCAAAGGAAUUGACGGGGGCCCGCACAAGCAGCGGAGCAUGUGGUUUAAUUCG
rnacentral:rRNA from 2 species